rnacentral:lncRNA from 1 species
AAGGUAGCGUCUCACUCCUGUUGCUGCCCGGGCUGGACUGUGCAAUCAUGGCUCCCUGCAGCCUCAACUUCCCAGGCUAAGGUGAUUCUCCCACCUCAGCCUCCUGAAUAGCUGGGACUACGGGUGCACACCACCAAGCCCAGCUAAUUUUUUAUAUAUUUAGUAGAGAUGGGGUUUUGCCAUGUUGCUCAGGCUGGUCUCGAACUCCUGGGCUCAAGCCCACCUCGGCCUCUCAAAGUGUUGAGAUUACUUUUAAUGGCAAAACCGCAAUUACUUUUGCUUCAAUCUAAUAUUUUGUUUUAUUUAUCUAUUUAUUUAUUUUUGAGAGAGGGUCUUGCUCUGUUGUCCACGCUAGAUUACAGUGGCACAAUCUCCACUCACUGCAACCUCCACUUCCUGAGCUCAAGUGAUCCUCCUAAGUAAGCCUCCCAAGUAGCUGGGAUUACAGACAUGAGCCACCAUGUCUGGCUAGUUUUUGUAUGUUUUAUAGAGAUUGGGUUUCUCCAUGUUGCCCAGGUUGGUCUCGAGCUCUGGGCUCAAGUAAUUUGCCUGCCUUGGCCUCCCAAAGUGAGUGCUGGGAUUACAAGUGUGAGCCACCUCACCUGGCCACUGUUGUUUUAAUUUGCAUCUCCCUGAUGACAUUAUGCGGAAAUCUUUUCAUAUGCUUAUUUUGCCAUUCAUAUGUCUUCUUUGGUGAGGUUCUUUGGUCCAUUUUUUUAAACAGGUUAUUUUCUUACUGUUGAGUUUAAGGAGUUCUUUGUGUAUUUUGAAUAAUAGUCCUUUAUCAGAUGUGUGUUUUGCAACUAUGUUCUCCAUGUCUGUGGCUUGUUUUUUCAUUCCCUUGACGUUGUCUUUUGCAGAGCAGAAAAUUUUAAUUUUAGUAAAGUCCAUCUUGUCAAUUAUUUCUUUCAUAGCUCUUGCCUUUGGUGUUGUGUCUAAAAAGAUAUCACUAUACUCAAGGUCAUACAGAUUUUCUCUUGUGUUUUCUUCCAGGAGUUUUAUUUUACAUUUAGGCCUGUGAGCCAUUUAGAGUUAAUUUUUGUGAACGGUAUAAGGUCUAUGCCUAGAUUCAUUGUUUUGCGUGUGGAUGUUCAUUUGUUUCAAUACCAUUUGUUGAAAAGAAUAUUAUUUCUCCACUGUAUUGUCUUUGCUCCUUUGUCAAGGAUCAGUUGACUAUAUUUAUGUACUAUAUUUAUAUACUUUUGGGCCCUCCACUGUUGCAUUGAUUUAUUUAUUAUUUCACCAAUGCCAUACUCUCUUAUUUAUAGUAGUGUUAUAAUAACUCUUGAGGUUGGGUUGCAUCAGUCUUGCAGCUUUGUUCUUCUCCUUCAAUAUUGUGUUAGCUAUUCUGAGUCUUUUGCCUCUCUAUGUAAACUUUAGAAUCAGUUUGUCUAUAUCCACAAAAUGACUUGCUAGAAUUUUGAUUGGGAUUGAAUUGAAUCUGGAGACCAAGUAGGGAAGAACUGACAUCUUGACAAUUUUGAGUCUUCCUGUCAAUUAUAAUGGAAUAUCUCUCCAUUUAUUUAGUUCUUUGAUUUUGCUCAUCAGAGUUUUGUAGUUUUCCUCAUGUAGCCCUUGCACAUAUUUUGUUAGACUUACACCUAUGUAUUUCAUUUUUUGGUGCUGAUGUAAAUGGUAUUGUAUUUCUAAUUUCAAAUUCCACUUGUUCAUUGCAUGUAUCUGGGAAAGUGUUUGAAUUUUUUAUAUUAAUCUUGUGUCUUGUAAACUUGCUGUAAUUGCUUAUUCUUGGAGUAUUGUUUCAAUUUGGAUUUUAUGCAUGGAUUAUCAUGUCAUAUGUGAACAGUUUUAUUUCUUCUCACCCUGUAUACCUUUUAUUUCCUUUUCUUGUUUCAUUGCAUUAGCUAGAACUUCCAGUGUCAGCAUUACCUAAGACUUCCCAGAUGUUGAAAAGGAGUGGUGAAAGAGAACAUCCUUGUAUUAUUCCUGAUUUUACAAGGGAAAGCAUUGAGUUUUUCACCAUUUGAGUAUGAUGUUAGCUGUAGGAUUUUUGUAGAUUUGUUUAACAAGCUGAGGAAAUUUUCCUCCAUUCUUAGUUUAUAGAGUUUUUUUUUUUUUUAAUCAUGAAUGUGUGUUGGAUUUUGUCAAAUGCUUUUUCUGCAUCUAUUGAUCGUGACUUUUCUUCUUUAGCCUGUUGAUGUGAUGGGUUACUAAGGAGAAAACACACACUCAAACCCAAAAUGCUUUUUAUUUCUUUUUUUUUUUUGAGACGGAGUUUCGCUCUUGUCACCCAUGCUGGAGUGCAGUGUUGCAAUCUCUGCUUACUCCAGCCUCCGCCUCCUGGGUUCAAGCGAUUCUCCUGCCUCAGCCUCCCCAGUAGGUGGGAUUACAAGUGCCCACCACCAUGCCCGGCUAAUUUUUUUGUAUUUUUAGUAGAGACGGGGUUUCACCACGCAGGCUAGUCUCGAACUCCUUAUGUCAGGUGAUCCACCUGCCUCAGCCUCCCAAAGUGCUGGGAUUACAGGCCUGAGCCCCCACGCCCAGCCCCCAAAAUGUUUUUUCUAUUCUCUUACUCAACAACAAUAAUCACAGAAGACUUCUGUGACCAAAUGUGUUGGGGGGGUUUUCCCCAUAUACCAAGCAAGCAACCACUUCUGCGUUGAACACCAUGGUGUCCUCCAAUUCAAUUCUGGCACCAUCUGUAGUAUCAGAUUCCACUGGUUGACGGCUCAGUCCCACAAGACUAUCCCCAGUUUAGACACCAGUUGCAAGUCUAGGCCCUCCAGAACUUCUGACUGACCAGCUUAAAGUUUGGGUUCCUAUGACGACCUCUUUGGGUUUGAUUAAUUUGCUAGAAUGGCUCACAGAACUCAACCAUUUACUUAGGCUUACUGGUUUAUUAUAAGGGAUAUUACAAAGGAUAUAAAUGAAGAAAUACAUAAAACAAGGUAUGGGAGAAGGGAUGAGGAGUUUUCAUGCCCUAUCAGGGCAUACCACCAUCUAGGAACCUCCAUGUGUUCAGCUAUCAAGAAGCUAUUUGGACCGAGACCUUUGGGUUUUUAUGGAGGCUUCAUUACAUAUGCAAGAUUGAUUAAGCCAAGCUGUUCGCCAUUGGUGAUCAACUUAACCUUUAGCCCUUCUCCGCUCCCCAAAGGUUGGGGUAUAGGGCUGAAAGUCCCAACCCUGUAAUCAUGCCUUGGUCUUUCUGGUGACCAACCCCCAUUUUAAAGAUACCUAGGGGCUGUCAGCCAGUAGUCAACUUGCUUGCAUACAAAAAGACUUCUCUUUGGAGAUUCCAAGGAUGUUACGAGUUGUAUGUCAGGAAAUGGGUUUGGAGGCCAAUUAUAACAUCACAAUUACAUCAGUUGAGUUUGAGAUGUUGAACCUGCUUUGUAUAACUCUCUUUUGUACAUUAUUGGAUUUGAUUUGCUAAUAUUUUGUUGAGGAAUUUUGCAUCAUUGUUCAUGAGAGAUUGGUCUGUAGUUUUCUUUACUUACAAUGUCUUUGUCUGGUUUUGGUAUUAGGGUAAUGCUGGCUCAUUCUUCGAGAAUUGGUUUAAUUUCUUCCUUAAAUGUUUGGUAGAAUUCAUCAGUGUACCCAUCUAGGCCUAGUGCUUUCUUUUUUGGAUGGUUAUUAAUUAUUGAUUCAGUUUAUUUAAUAGAUAUAGGCCCAUUCAGAUUUUCUGUUUCUUCUUGUGUGAGUUUUGGCAUAUUGUGUCUUUUUUUUUUUUUUGAGAUGGAAUCUCACUCUGUUGCCCAGGCUGGAGUACAGUGGCGUGAUCUCGGCUCACUGCAAUCUCCGCCUCCUGGGUUCAAGCAAUUCUCCUUCCUCAGCCUCUGGAGUACCUGGGAUUACAGGUGCCCGCCACCAUACCCGGCUCAUUUUUGUAUUUUUAGUAGAGACAGCGUUUCACCAAUGUUGGCCAGGCUGGUCUUGAACUCCUGACCUCAGGUGAUCCGCCCGCCUUGGCCUCCCAAAGUGCUGGGAUUACAGGCGUGAGCCACCGCCCCUGGCUGGUAUAUUGUGUCUUUUAAGGAAUUAGUUCAUUUCAUCUAGGUUAUCAAAAUUGUAGUUCAUAGUGUUAUUAUUCUUUUAAUGUCCAUGAGAUAUGUAUUGAUAUCCCCUCUUUCAUUUCUGUUGUUAGUAAUUUAUAUACCUUCUCUUCUUAAUUAGCCUGGCUAGGAGUGAUUUGUUUUUUAACAAAUUUGUUCACUGGAUGAUAUUUAAAAUUUACCAUAAAUUAAUUAGGCCUGCCAAGGCCAGCAUUACUCUCUGUAUUCUUAUUCUUAUUCUUAUUUUUUUUUUUUUUGAGACAGAGUCUCGCUCUGUCACCCAGGCUGGAGUGCAGUGGCGCAAUCUCGGCUCACUGCAAGCUCCACAUCCCAGGUUCACGCCAUUCUCCUGCCUCAGCCUCCCGAGUAGCUGGGACUAAAGGCGCCCACCACCAUGUCAGGCUUAUUUUUUUGUAUUUUUAGUAGAGAUGGGGUUUCACCGUGUUAGCCAGGAUGGUCUCGAUCUCCUGACCUUGUGACCCGCCCACCUGGGCCUCCCAGAGUGCUGGGAUUACAGGCGUGUGCCACCGCGCCCAGCCUACUCUCUGUAUUAUUAUAAUCGUUGUUUAGGCUUUAAAUAGGGAUCAUAUGUACUAAUUCUCCAGUAAUAUCAUUUGCCACUUUGCCGGAAUACUAUGAUUAACAAAAAUGGACCACAAAUUUGAUUUUCUUGGUGGUUUGUCUGUAUUCUCUCCUUACCCAUGGAUUAGGAGUCACUGAGGUAGCAUGAAGUAAUAGAAAUACCAAGGCAUGGUAUUUAGAGCCAGAAAUAACUAGUCAGAAUCCUAAUUCUAACAUUUUGGCCUUAACAAUCUGCAUAAGUCUGAGUUUCAUCAUCAUUAAAAAUGUAAUAAUGAUAAUAUUUCAGUGUUGAUAUGAGGAACAGAAACAUUUAAUGCUUUUGAAUGUAGUAGGUGCUAAAGUAGACAUUCAUAAACAGUGCUUGCUUUUAUUAUUAUUUUUACUAUUAUGAUUUAUGCUCAUUAGCAGCAUUAUUGCUAUUAUUAUUGGAAAAAUGUAGGUAGGACUACCAUAUUCAACUUUAAAAACUCUUUCAUUAUCUGUUUAACAGACAUCUGCUUAAUAUUGAUCAAACAAGAGACAGUUCAUGGAAUGUUUCCUAUCAUAAUGAGGUUUGAUUUCGGGGGACUUUGUGAUAUAUAUAGACUGAUGAUACAUGGAAUUUUGUUUCUGGCCUUUUUUAAUGGUUGUCAUAUGGGACCUCAUUGUCCAUUGCUCUGGCAUCAUUUAAGUAUUGACCAUUGGCAUCAAUUAUCUUUUAAGGGUAAGGAUAUGUUUAAAGAAGCUAAUGAUGUCUGCCUCCAUUUGUAAUUAAGCUUUAACUUUAUAUGGCUGGGUAUUACUAAGGCACAGCUAAGAGCAUUUUUUUGAUGGUCAGCAGUACUAAGUUCUUUACGUCAAAAAGAGCUGUCCUAGGCAGAAGAUUUUUGCUCUACCCUAGCAAAUCAUAAUAAGUAAAAGCAAAUUUUCACAUAAAAAUUAAUUCCAAAAAAGAUUUGGGAGUGUUCACACAUGAUUUUAUGAAAAAUUUUUUUAACCCAUAUCAGCUUAAAAUUUGCAACUUAAUGAAUGAAUCUUGAGGACAUUAUGCUAAGUGAAGUAAUCCAGUCACAGAAAGACAAAUACUAUUUGAUUCUACUUAUAUGAAGUACCUAGAGUAGUCAAAUUCAUAGGGACAGAAAGUAGAGUGGUGGUUGCCAGGGAAUCUCAAGGAGGGAGAAAUGGGAAGUAAUAGUUUCAUAAAUACAGAGUUUUAGUUUUACCAGAUGAUAAGAUUUUUGUGAAUGGAUGGUGGUGAUGGUAGCGUGACAGUAUGACUAUACUUAGGCCGCAGGACUGUAUGCUUAUGAUGGUAAAUUUUAUAUUUUGUGUAUCUUACCACAACUAAAAAAUUACAAGUUAGGCCAGUCGCAGUGGUUUACACCUGUAAUCCCAGCACUUUGGGCGGCCGAGGGGGGUAGAUUACUUGAGGUCAGGAGUUUGAGACCAGCCUGGCCAAUAUGGCAAAACCUCAUCUCUACUAAAAAAUACAAAAAUUAGCCAGGCAUGGUGGCAUAUGCCUGUAAUCCCAGCUACUUGGGAGGCUGAGGCACAAGAAUGGCUUGAACUGGCGAGGUGGAGGUUGCAGUGAGCUGAGAUUGUGCCACUGCACUCCAGCCUGGGUGACAGAGCGAGACUCUGUCUAAACAGAAAAAUGCAAUGUAAAUAUAACAGUACAUAUUAGAAUAUCACAAUAAGAUAAGAAUUUUGGAAAUGUUUAGGGUCAUUCUUUACAUAAAUAUGAUUGACUUAUUUGGUGAUCCUUAUAAUAUGAUUGACUUGUUUAGAGGGAGGACUGAGUGCUAAGUUGAAGAUGAUUCGUGUUGAAUGAGAGAGAACAGAGAGACAGCAGGGAGAGAGAGUGUGUGUGUGUGUGUCUGUGUGUGUGUGUGUGUAAAAGUGUAUAGCAUUAGUGCUUCUGGGGGCUGAAACAGAGUGGAGAGAAUUAAACACAGUGAAACAUGAGAAUUCAAAAGAAUAGGCAAAAUGAGUGAUGAUUAACGUUACAAGGCCCACAGACCUACUCCACUGUGUUAUCAGCCAACGUAGUUGGGCUGGAUCAUGGAUAUUACUGAGAAGUAUGAAAUCUCUUAAAAACAAUCAUGAUCUAAAGAGUUGGAUUGUUGUUACUCAGAAGUAUGAAUUAUCUCAAAACAGGGUUCUAAAGAGGUAGUUUAUUUCAAUAUCUAGCAAAUAAAUCUGUGUUUACAAAACAUGAAAUACCUAUAAUAGCGUCUGAAUCUUUAAGGAUAAAAUAUUACAUGUCAGCCCCUUAAUAUCUUCACUUCUUUCUUGAGGUCAGAAAUCCUAUGUCUUUUGUUUCAGAUAUUAAUAGCUGC